rnacentral:rRNA from 1 species
UAGAGUUUUGAUCCUGGCUCAGGACGAACGCUGGCGGCGUGCUUAACACAUGCAAGUCGAACGAUGAAGCCUUUCGGGGUGGAUUAGUGGCGAACGGGUGAGUAACACGUGGGCAAUCUGCCCUUCACUCUGGGACAAGCCCUGGAAACGGGGUCUAAUACCGGAUAAUACUUUCUCUCUCAUGGGGGAAGGUUAAAAGCUCCGGCGGUGAAGGAUGAGCCCGCGGCCUAUCAGCUAGUUGGUGGGGUAAUGGCCUACCAAGGCGACGACGGGUAGCCGGCCUGAGAGGGCGACCGGCCACACUGGGACUGAGACACGGCCCAGACUCCUACGGGAGGCAGCAGUGGGGAAUAUUGCACAAUGGGCGAAAGCCUGAUGCAGCGACGCCGCGUGAGGGAUGACGGCCUUCGGGUUGUAAACCUCUUUCAGCAGGGAAGAAGCGAAAGUGACGGUACCUGCAGAAGAAGCGCCGGCUAACUACGUGCCAGCAGCCGCGGUAAUACGUAGGGCGCAAGCGUUGUCCGGAAUUAUUGGGCGUAAAGAGCUCGUAGGCGGCUUGUUGCGUCGGUUGUGAAAGCCCGGGGCUUAACCCCGGGUCUGCAGUCGAUACGGGCAGGCUAGAGUGUGGUAGGGGAGAUCGGAAUUCCUGGUGUAGCGGUGAAAUGCGCAGAUAUCAGGAGGAACACCGGU